GGGGAUCCUCUAGAGAUUAAGAAGCGAAAGUGACGGUACCUGCAGAAAAAGCACCGGCUAACUACGUGCCAGCAGCCGCGGUAAUACGUAGGGCGCAAGCGUUGUCCGGAAUUAUUGGGCGUAAAGAGCUCGUAGGCGGUCUGUCGCGUCUGCUGUGAAAACCCGAGGCUCAACCUCGGGCCUGCAGUGGGUACGGGCAGACUAGAGUGCGGUAGGGGAGAUUGGAAUUCCUGGUGUAGCGGUGGAAUGCGCUGAUAUCAGGAGGAACACCGAUGGCGAAGGCAGAUCUCUGGGCCGUAACUGACGCUGAGGAGCGAAAGCGUGGGGAGCGAACAGGAUUAGAUACCCUGGUAGUCCACGCCGUAAACGUUGGGCGCUAGAUGUGGGGACCAUUCCACGGUUUCCGUGUCGCAGCUAACGCAUUAAGCGCCCCGCCUGGGGAGUACGGCCGCAAGGCUAAAACUCAAAGGAAUUGACGGGGGCCCGCACAAGCGGCGGAGCAUGCGGAUUAAUUCGAUGCAACGCGAAGAACCUUACCAACAAGC
rnacentral:rRNA from 1 species